ensembl:lncRNA
ACGCAACAGAGACUGCCGUGGUUUCUAAAAUGUGAUUUUGUUAGCUGUCCAGGGAGGUUUGUCAAACGGAAAUGGCUUAAUGCAAAAUAUAUGCAUCCCCCACGGUUUUGAUAAAAAUAGGGCCAGCCAUUAACAGCACGAGUUCUUCUGGGUGAGCGUUACGUCAAUGCUAGAUCAAGGGAGCCAUCCAUUCCCCGGCGCGCCUCUAUGCAAACUGCUCAGCCCAGGAGGUGAGGCCUUAAUGUUGGACGCAGGAUGCAAAUAAAUUACUCAAAUCUUAUUCAAGAGUAUGUGUGCGUGCCGUGGUCCAAAGGCAAUUUUUAUGUCGGCAAAUGAAAUAUUGAUCCGGGCUGAUGGAGGCUCGUGCCAGGCAACACUGUGUGUGUGUGUGUGUGUGUGUAUGUUUUUUUUUUUCUUUCCCUGGCAUUUUAUCUCAAAGCAAGACUUUUUCUUUCUCUCCAGCUCCAGUAAAGCCAGCUGAGCCUGACAUACAUGUCACAUAUUUACCAUUCUGUGGCAGCUUCUGAAUUAUUAACUAAACGGAUCACAGAAUGCUGGGGCUAAUGACACUAAUCAGUAGUAAAGGGGAGGGGGGCGGGGGGUCUUUGUGGAUGCGACUUUGUCCAAGGCCUUGCUGAAAGAUGGCAUAGAGAGGGCAUGAGUUGUCAUGGGUGACAGCUGUCCUAUUUCUGAGAUCUGGUUGGAUGGCGCCGUGGUAGCACAGGCUUGCUCGCUAAUGGUGUUUGGACAGGGUGUGGAUGUUAUAUGUCUCAUUCUCUCCUCCCCCUGUGGAAUUAAUUAGGUUUAUUUCACCAAACAUGCCAAACUCACACAGAUGUAUAUGUUCCCCCGUUUAGUGUGUGUGAUUCCUCCACAGGAAACUGAUCAACACCACCUGGUCCUGUUUGAUCUAGGCUGCCAACACACAGAACACCCACAGACGGACUGCCUUUGUGACAACUGGAGGAACUGCUGCAGCAAUAGUGUUGUUACCUGUGUGUGUGUGUGUGUGUCUG